GGAGGAGGAGACUGCGGGCGCUGUGGGGCGAGAUGGAGGAGGAGCGUCUUGCCGCGGCCAGCGCUGCCAGCAAGGCCACGGCCAUGAUGCGGCGCCUGCAGAAGGAGAAGGCCGAGGUCUAGAUGGAGCUCCGUCAGCUCCGCCGCUUCGACGCCGAGAUCGACCACCUCUGCGCCCGCCCUCAUCGCCCGCCUCGCGCGAGUCCGCUACAGGCUUCACGCCUACAGGAAUCUCUUGUUACCGUCAGCGUUCACCUCAUCAUCAACGUGUUCUCCUUGCUGUCUCGGGGUCAAGAUGAUGAAGAUAGAAAGCUGCAGAGGGCCUGAGCGGUGGUACUCGUGCAAGAACCUCACCCAUGGCGGAGCUGAUAUGAUAGAGAAGCAAAACUAAGAGUACAAGGCAAAGUUAUGUGGUGGGUUAGAUGGAGAGCUUGUCGCGGCGAUGUGGCAGGCUGCUCUGCAGUGGCACGAAUGGAGAGCUCGGUCAACAAUGGCGGGACGACCGUCUGAUCUGCGGCAGCGUGGAAGGAGAGCUCGGCGGUCAACAGCGGCUCGACCAGCUGUUCUGCGAUGUUUCAAAGGGAGAACUUCUUUUACUGCUGCGCGUAUGCAUAUGUGCUGUACUAUCCUUGAUAGCUGUGUUGGGUCGGGUUGCAAUGGAUGUAUUGAACACGUUUCAAGGGUCUUGUUUGUCGAUCUGGAGCCACUAUAAGUCAUGUUGUCGAAAUUACUUCUUAUUUGCAACUGAUUGGUGUUGACGGGGCCACAGGCCACCAGAAGGUGCUCGUUGCUCACUUGAGUUUGCUCACUUGAGUCAUAAUAGAGGGAGUGAGAAGGUAAGAAGGGAGAAGAAGAAAUAACCUUGCUGCCGGAGACGACAUCCACACCAUUUUUUGUGUGUUGGAGUGAUUGAACCAUGGCAAUCAAAGCUGACAUCACAUCUCCUUCUUCAUACACACUUUUUGGGUAGUUGUGCAUCUAUAUUCCAUUCUGCACACCAAGAGAUUAUGUUAUUUUCCUUUUACAAAUCUGAACUAUGUGAGACAUUGCUAUUUACUG